GUGUACGCUAUUCAAACACAGUAUAACCAUUCUCAAGUUUCAGCUCCUCAUAUGUCAAAAUCGAAGAAAAUUUGCACUUCAAGCUUAAUAUGCAAGUUUCUCAAAUUUUAUAUGUUUCUCAACAAAAAAGUGAAAGCUAUAGUAAAAAAUACAUGUAAGAGACAAUCAGUCAUAUGGAGUAAAAUGCAUAAGCGAUACAUGGAUUUGGUAGUGAAUGUCAUCUUGG
rnacentral:lncRNA from 1 species